rnacentral:rRNA from 1 species
UACGUAGGGGGCAAGCGUUGUCCGGAUUUAUUGGGCGUAAAGAGCGUGUAGGCGGCCAGACAGGUCAGCUGUGAAAACUCGAGGCUCAACCUCGAGACGUCGGUUGAAACCGUCUGGCUAGAGUCCGGAAGAGGAGAGUGGAAUUCCCGGUGUAGCGGUGAAAUGCGCAGAUAUCGGGAAGAACACCCGUGGCGAAGGCGGCUCUCUAGUACGGUACUGACGCUGAGGCGCGAAAGCGUGGGGAGCGAACAGG